UGAAGGCAGAUGCUCAGUUGCUGAGCCAUCCAGGCAUCCUGCACUUUUCAUUUCUUAAUAAGGCUGACUCAUGGGAAAUACCAGCCUUCCUAAUGGAUAUCAUCAUUUCCUACUUCUAAGAAUUUUCUGAAGGAGACAGAGACUAGACUUGUCAAACCUUAGCUGAUAAGAUCUAAGGGCUCAGACCCAUUUUCUUUAUGAUUUCAACAGAUUAUCUCAAUAGAGGCAAGUUGAUGCGUAAGCCCCACCACAGUGGCCGAGACAGACUCUGAUGAAGCAGCGUUUGGGGAGAGGAUUCCCAGAAUGUGAUGCAAGAGCUCCAAGAUGAGGAAAGGGGACCCAGAAACAGAGGACAGGGACUGCCUUUAUUUUUCUAACCAAUAUACCUCCUGCACACAACCCAGGACUAGCACGGAGCACUGUGAUAGCUAUUAUGUGUAACUGUCAGGGGGAGGGGAUGAAAAUUUCUUUCUUUUUAAAGAUUGAUCGAUUUAUUUGGGAAAGAGAGAGAAAGAGAAUGCCCAUGAGGUGGUGGAGGCGGGGAGAGGGAGAUGGGGAGAAACUCAAGCAGAUUUUCCACUCUGGAGCCUGUCACAGCCUGAAAUCAACCUGAGUUGAAAUCAAGAGUCAAAUGCUUAACCCACUGAGUCACUCAGGUGCCCCAGAAUGAAACGUACUUCAAUGUACUUCAAUAGAAGUUCAUGAAAAGUGCUGGGGAAUAUGUUAAUAAAUAAUAAAUUCUUAGUAAGGAAUUUGGGGAGGGUCAGCAGAAGUGGUGGUGUUUGAAUAAAGCUUCCUGAGAUGAAUAGGCUCUUCAUAGGUAAAUAAAGGGGAAGCUUUUGCAGAUGGAGAGAAGAUCCCAGACAAAGGCCUGAGGUGAAGGGGAGUGAAAUGCAUAGUUUACUGACAAAAAAUUGAGAGGUUAAGUAGUAGAACUUAACUUUUCAAGCACGUUUGACCUGAAACCUAGGAUCCUUCAGGUAAUAUUGUUGCCUAAGACCCUGCUUUUUUUUUCCUUUUCUUUCUCUAAGUGUACAUUUUUUGCAACAUGUGCAAGCACAAAAAUCACCUGUCAACUAAUAAUGCCAUGGCCCUGGACCUGUGGGUAUAGAGAGGAGGAGCAAGGAGCGGGGCUGUGAGUUAGCAGGGGCCAGAUGGAGGAUGGAAGCUGCUUGGGACACACUGCCGGAGCUCAACAAGAAGGUGCCAUACACAUUUUUGAGCUGGAGAAUAGCACCAACCACACAGGGGCAUUUUGGAAUGACCAUUGUGUGAGCCCUGCAGGGAGUGGACCAGUGGUCAGGGGCCACCCCAGAGAGCACCCACUAGAGGCCGUGAGUCCUGUCCAUAGCAGGGGCAGGGAGGCUGGCUCAUGUCUAAUGACCCCCUCUCAGAGGCCCAGCUUGACUGCAGCCUGCUGCUGACUCCUUUUCACGUCUGGCCACAGCCACACAGCGUGCCAGAGCUGAGCAGCCGCCUCAGGUCUCGGGCUCCUGCUCUCCGAGAGGCCACCCCGCAGACAGAGGUCAGGCAAGCUGAAACCGAAGUUUGUCUUGUGUCCUCGAAGGAAUGCUGUUUUCUACAGAGAGGGAAGAGAGGGCGGCGGAAUGGAGCUGCAGGCCCCCGCUGGCUGGAGAGGCUUCUAGAGCCCACCUCUGAGUCUGACUCCCUAUGUAACAUAUGGGGAAACUGAGGCCAGAGAUGAAGGGACGGGCCUAAACUCACACAGCUAGCCAUGUUAUCAAAUAACACUCAGUACUUACUAACUCCCAAACAGUUCUGCAUUAUCAUUCUUCAUGUUAAUUGUUAUUUUUUUCAAGUGUUUUGACUGGAGGUCCAGGACCCUUGAGGGUGUUAUUCUUGCUCAGCUCCCUUAAAAUUUUUUCUUCUGAAUUUAUAUUUUUACACAGAUUUUUAAAGAAUCACUUUCUUUUGAUGAUCCUGCCUCUGACUUUCCUUCGAACAGAUAGAUUUUAAAAUGCAAGUAGGCUAAUGACAGGAACGGGUCCUUUGCCAAGAUGUGAACAGUGCCAAAAAGAUCCCUUACCAGAUGGUUUCCUCACCCCAUAAAUUUUCCCUCAUCCUCAAUUUGACAGGUGACCUUCAGAGAAAGGACUCACAAAAGAGAGAAGGCAAUGGCCAUCAGGAGAGGGAGACGGCCUGGUUCAGAGGAUCUAGCAGAGGAAGCCUGAAUCCAAGUAGUCCAUUGGCUUCCAGGGCCUAGCGGAAGUCUUAUUCCUUCCUUUGUGCAGUGUUAGUUCCCCAGCCUGAUGUUCAAGGUCCCUUGAGUUCCCACGGGCAACUUCUGUUCUGGCCAGAUGUUUAUUCUUGGUCUGAGUUAACCAACCUUUCCCCACUUAAUCCCCUCAAGCCUCUGCUCAUUGAAGAGUCUUGCUGUUCUGGUCCUUACUAUGCUCUUCAAGUUCCUGUCUCUGCCCUGAGCGUGUCCUUAAUGUCUCCAGUUCAAAUUGUUUCUCUGGAAUGCUUAGUACUUGAUAGGCUGUCCAAGCUAGAUGGCUCCUUAGGGGUUACUGAGUCUAAUUUGUUUGUUUGUUUUAGAGGAGUGGAAAUAGGGGCACUGGAUAGGAAAAUAAUUUGCUUGAGAUCCUACAAUUAACAAGUGUAAAAACUGAGACUCAGUUAUCCUGAUUCUUGACCCAUGCUCAUUCUUUGAUAUUAAGAUAGUUUAUACAAUCCAUUACACUCACUCACCACUUAAUAAGGAUUAUAAUAACCAAUAUUUUCAUACCUAAUGCAUUAACAUCUCAUCACUAAUCCUCAGAAGUAGUCUUCCAUCCAUCCAUCCACUCAUUUAUUCCUUCAACCUUCCAAUGUUUAUUGAGGGUCCAUGUUCAAGCAUGGUGCUAGAUCCUAAGUAUUAUUAUUUCCAUUUCAUAGUGGAAGAACUUGACACUCUGAGAAGUUCCAUGACUUGCUCUAAUUUACUGAAUAAAUUGGGUCUCAAUAGGAAACAGGACUGAUUCAGGUGGUUUCCACAAAGGAGCUCUUUCCAGAGGUGUAGACAGGAUUGAAGGAAAACAUGACAUUUUGAGGCACCAGAUGUCAGUAGCAGUGAGAAGCCAGGGCCACAAGGGUGAGGGGAAGACCCACCAUUCCCAGAGCCCAGUGAGAAUGAGAUGCAGUGGGUUAGGGGGCUGUAGGUGUCAGGUGCUGAGCUGCUGCUAUUAGAGAAUGGGCCAGGAUAGAGGGGAGCACACUCUGUCCCCUCUCCCAAUCUCUUUCCAGGGACCCCCUUUGUCUAAGCUCAGCCAAAAAAACCUAUGGCAAGGAAUCACCACCCUGGGGGAGGUGAUUCACAGAGGUCAGCCCCUGGGACAUGCAGCAGGGUAGACAAUGAAUUCAGAACAAGCUGAAGUAUCCAGCCUAAUGCGCCAAUGGAUAGCAGGGGACCUAGGAUGUCAACUCUGCUUCAGACCCCAAAUCCUAUGCUUUCUUCUAACAUGGGGCUUGCUUGCAUUUAUGGCCUUAUGUUCAUUCAGUCAGUCAACUCUUCAUUCUAGCAAUAAAUACACUGAGCACUAACUCCUUGCCAGGGCCUGUGUCUAUGUCUCUUUUCCCUCCCCAAGCAAUGAGGUCAGUGACCUUGUCUCACUUGUCUCCAAGUUCCUCAGUCACAGUCCUGGGUGCCUGGUAGGCAUUGCAGCUGUUUUGAUGACAAAGAGCUCACAAGGACCACUGGGACCUGCAUUGGAGGAAGCCACCAGAGCAUGCCCAGAGAGAGAGCCCGCUUUCACUCUUCAGGGCAUGGGGAGGAGUGUUGGUACCUAAGUCACCUUCGUGUUGUCUGCGAAGUGUGCAUUAUAUUUAAGGGCUGAGGGCUCAGAGGCUUGGGGAACUCACCCCCCUUUCUGACAACAGAGCUGUGAUGCAGUGUCUCGCUCCUAGAACAUCUGCCCUCCGCUGUGUCCUUCCUGACACUCAGCUCUCUGCUCUGGCUGCAGAGUCUCCAGCCACUUCUGUGAGGGCAAUGGAGGAGCAGAUGAAAGCAGAGCUUGCCCCUUCCCCUCAGGCUCACACCUUCCUUGCGUUGCGGUGACAGAGUGAUGUAUGUCAAGGUUUGGAUGGCUUUAUCUUACAGGUUCUACUGGGCUACAGCAAACAAUGAUUGUGUGUAAGCAGCCCGGCCCUGUUCAAACACUGUCAGUGAGAAUGUCAACAAGAAAUGGAAAGAUUUGGAGGCUGUGCUCAUUGGCAUUCAGCCUCUGGUAGUUGCUGUAAUAUAUUUCUUUUUCUUUCUUUUUUCCUCACCACACCACCCCACAAGCCCAGAAAAGUGCAAAAGAAUCACAAAGGACUAUCCCAUCCCUUGUUUCUGUUUUUUUUUUUUUUUUUUAAACUCAU